rnacentral:rRNA from 1 species
CGUAUCACCCAAGACAACUUUACGGAGUUGACGAUUGACGGAGCGAAGCGACGUCAAAGCGUUCAUUAAAGUCGAGUUGGCUUAGGGAUACGUUCGUUGGGUAGGGGAGCGUUCUGUAAGCCGUUGAAGGUGGCCUGUGAGGGUUGCUGGAGGUAUCAGAAGUGCGAAUGCUGACAUAAGUAACGAUAAAGCGGGUGAAAAGCCCGCUCGCCGGAAGACCAAGGGUUCCUGUCCAACGUUAAUCGGGGCAGGGUGAGUCGACCCCUAAGGCGAGGCCGAAAGGCGUAGUCGAUGGGAAACGGGUUAAUAUUCCCGUACUUGGUGUUACUGCGAAGGGGGGACGGAGAAGGCUAUGUUGGCCGGGCGACGGUUGUCCCGGUUUAAGCGUGUAGGUGUGUGUUCCAGGUAAAUCCGGUUCACUUUAACACUGAGGCGUGACGACGAGGCACUACGGUGCUGAAGCAACAAAUGCCCUGCUUCCAGGAAAAGCCUCUAAGCAUCAGGUAACAUCAAAUCGUACCCCAAACCGACACAGGUGGUCAGGUAGAGAAUACCAAGGCGCUUGAGAGAACUCGGGUGAAGGAACUAGGCAAAAUGGUGCCGUAACUUCGGGAGAAGGCACGCUGACACGUAGGUGAAGUGAUUUACUCAUGGAGCUGAAGUCAGUCGAAGAUACCAGCUGGCUGCAACUGUUUAUUAAAAACACAGCACUGUGCAAACACGAAAGUGGACGUAUACGGUGUGACGCCUGCCCGGUGCCGGAAGGUUAAUUGAUGGGGUCAGCGCAAGCGAAGCUCCUGAUCGAAGCCCCGGUAAACGGCGGCCGUAACUAUAACGGUCCUAAGGUAGCGAAAUUCCUUGUCGGGUAAGUUCCGACCUGCACGAAUGGCGUAAUGAUGGCCAGGCUGUCUCCACCCGAGACUCAGUGAAAUUGAACUCGCUGUGAAGAUGCAGUGUACCCGCGGCAAGACGGAAAGACCCCGUGAACCUUUACUAUAGCUUGACACUGAACAUUGAGCCUUGAUGUGUAGGAUAGGUGGGAGGCUUUGAAGCGUGGACGCCAGUCUGCGUGGAGCCGACCUUGAAAUACCACCCUUUAAUGUUUGAUGUUCUAACGUGGACCCGUAAUCCGGGUUGCGGACAGUGUCUGGUGGGUAGUUUGACUGGGGCGGUCUCCUCCUAAAGAGUAACGGAGGAGCACGAAGGUUGGCUAAUCCUGGUCGGACAUCAGGAGGUUAGUGCAAUGGCAUAAGCCAGCUUGACUGCGAGCGUGACGGCGCGAGCAGGUGCGAAAGCAGGUCAUAGUGAUCCGGUGGUUCUGAAUGGAAGGGCCAUCGCUCAACGGAUAAAAGGUACUCCGGGGAUAACAGGCUGAUACCGCCCAAGAGUUCAUAUCGACGGCGGUGUUUGGCACCUCGAUGUCGGCUCAUCACAUCCUGGGGCUGAAGUAGGUCCCAAGGGUAUGGCUGUUCGCCAUUUAAAGUGGUACGCGAGCUGGGUUUAGAACGUCGUGAGACAGUUCGGUCCCUAUCUGCCGUGGGCGCUGGAGAACUGAGGGGGGCUGCUCCUAGUACGAGAGGACCGGAGUGGACGCAUCACUGGUGUUCGGGUUGUCAUGCC